AAAAAAAAACGUUUAUUUCAAGAUUUGUUGUAUUACAUAUUUAUUUUUUUAUUAAAAUUUAAGAUUAUGUGCAAUUACUUUUAGAAAAAUAAUUCUUUGGCUUGAAUCAUAUUUUUCCGUGACAUUUUUUAUACACAGGUUCAUAUCUGUAUUUUUUUCUUUUGGCUUGGUUCUUCUCCUUGCAUAAACUUUUGCAAUUUGGUACUGGCAAACACUUUCUUACAUUUAAUCAUAUCAAUAAGUUUACAAAUAUUUGGAUGGCUAAUAUUAACUGUGUUUUUCAGCGCGCUGUGAUAGGCUUCUAAAUUAUUUGUAGUACGAGCAAUACCUGUCAUACAUCGAGCCCAAACAUUCCAUAUUGGUAAUAGAAAUGGAGGUUCAAGGCGUCGCCUCCUCUGUCCUCUUCUUCUAUGUGGUUCUAUAUAAUCAUUUUCAAAAUAGGAUACAACUGACUGUGAAAUAUCAUCAUCAUCUACAAGUUGUUCAUAUCCAUCUACAACAUCAUCAACCGGCAGGAAGGUAAGGACAACAAAGCACCACAGUUUUUAUACUAAAACUGUCAUCUUCGUGGUAUCUGCAUUUUAGUCCUUCUUGUACAACAUGCUUGUACACAUUUUGUCCUAAAUGAAACAAGCAGUAUGCCAAAUUCGACCAGGAAAGGAUCCCAGAAAUCUGUUACGGGCUGCUUUUUCGAAAUCCAUAAUUAUAUUAUCAGGUCC
rnacentral:lncRNA from 1 species